AUCCUUGGCACAUCUAACAAUACAAACCAUCGCAACGCAACAGCAACAACAGUUCCUACCAGCACUGAGCCACCUAGCCAUGGUGAACCCUGCCGCCUACUUGCAACAGCAACUGCUUGCAUCCAACCCACUUGCUCUGGCAAACGUAGUUGCACACCAGCAACAACAACAGCUGCAACAGUUUCUGCCAGCGCUCAGUCAACUAGCCAUGGUGAACCCUGCCGCCUACCUACAACAGCAACAACUGCUUUCAUCUACCCCGCUCGUUCUGGCCAAUGCACCUACAUACCUGCAACAACAAUUGUUGCAAUAGAAUCUACCAGCUCUGACUCAGCUAGCUAUGGCAAACCCUGCUGCCUACUUGCAACAGCUGCUUCCAUUCAACCAACUGAUUGUGUCGAACUCUGUUGCGUACCUACAACAACGACAAUAGUUACUUAAUCCACUAGCAGUGGCUACCCCAUUGGUCGCUGCCUUCCUACAGCAGCAACAAUUGCUGCCAUACAACCAGUUCUCUUUGAUGAACCCUGUCUUGUCGAGGCAGCAACCCAUCGUUGGAGGUGCCAUCUUUUAGAUUACAUAUGAGAUGUACUUGAUAAUGGCGCCCUCAUACCGGCAUGUGUUUCCUAGAAAUAAUCAAUAUAUUCAUUGAGAUUUAUCUCGAUAUAUUUCUGAACUAUGUUCAUUAUAUAAAUAAUUGAAAACAUCAAAUCAUAAUUAUAAACUCAUGCUUGGUCAAUACAUAGACAAUGCGAUAUUACUUCAACAUCCCAAUGAUGUCCUAGCCCAACCUCUUGAAUGUUACUGUUUUAAUGCGUGAGGGUAUAUUUAUAAGAUACACGUCACUAUUUGCGCUUUUUUUAGUACAUACAUAUUUUGUAUGUUGAUAUGAUAUAGUUAUGGACACAUGCUUUGACCAUGAAUAUUCAAAUCAGUUGUACUUGCACGAAGCAAAACAUAAUAUAAUUUAGGAGUACACUUAUAACUGUGUCCAAACAUGCUCACACAAAUUCAUACCACAUUAUAUUUUUUGGUAAAUAUUCCACACAUGUAUUUUUUACAAGAACCCAAAUUUUGCAGACAAAUGCAGCAUUAUAGACAUGUAGAAUUAUUUGAAGCCCGUGAACGUAACAACACCAAGGUCAUUAAAUCAACUGGACCCUAUGAGUAACAAUUUCGAUAUUGCAAACACCAAAUUAUAGAACUUAUUGGCUGAAAAAUUAUGAGCAAUGUGAAGUUUUAAUUAUUAUGCCAUAAAUAUAUCAAAUUAUUUUUUUGAGGAACGUAAAAAUUGCAUGGAAUGGGCUGCAUAACGUGCUAGCUCACUUCUAUGCUAGGUAGCAUUACCAAAGAUUGGAAUGUUGCUGAUGAACACCAAACCCACUCAAAUAAUAUUUAUAUUUGGGUUGUUUAGUUGUAAAAGUGAAGACCCAAGAUAAAAGUACCAAUUGUCCAAUGACAUUCGAUUAUUUUGUUCGGGGAGCACUUGGUGCGUCAUUUGGACUCGUAUCUUAGUCCAAUAGAUUGCAUUUUCCUUCAAUGUGUAGAAUCCGACAAAGUGCAUGUUCUAAAAUUGUAAAUCUAACUAAAUUAGAAAGCUUGUUACUAAUUUGAUGGUUAAUUAGGUGUAGCUCAUAAAACUAGAACCAACAUAGUUUGCACUCACAUGUUAUAGAAAAUAGGAGUAUCCAAGCACAAUUUGUGUGAGCAUCCAUGACACAAAUUAUAUAUAGACUGAUAUAAUUAAUUCCUUCAAAAAUAAAAAAAGGAAAAAAUAAAGUGUUUUUUGAUAAUGCAGGAUAUCUCCUUUAGCUAAUGAGGAGUACUAAAAAGAUGUUGCACUUUUGGGUGGCCAGAAUUCCUCAAUCAUAACUUUGACAUAAUUUUAAUCUGGAUCAUAUAUAUAGCAUCAUAUCUUAAUUAUUAAAUUAAUAUGGUUCCAUCAUCGUAUUAUUAAUUCAAUCCGAUAUAACCAUCAGAUCUUAAUUAUUAAAUUAAUCUGGAGCGUACAUUAGAUUAUCAAACCAAAUCAACCCGACAUAACCAUCGAAUGUUCCGCUAUGCACCUUAAGCGCAUGGUAUGGGGCUUAAUCAUCCGGAAUAACCAUCCAAUCUUCUGGUAAGCAUAGUAAGCGUAUGGUUCACGGCUUCGUCAUCCGGAAUAACCAUCAGAUUUUCUGGUGUGUACUGAAAGCAAAUGAUCCAGGGUUUUGGUACGUGAAACAUUGUUAGGUGAAUGCAGAUGCUGGCUACUGUUGCACAUGCGAACUGCUGUGUGGAAGCUGUUGGGUCCUCCUCUAUUAUGCGUGGCUUGUGGCGGGCUUGGACUGCUCUCAUGGCCUCACCAGCUGCAACGACCAGAGCGGUACCCCUUACUAAAGUAUGAAGACACGGAGCCUGUACGACGUUCUCUAGCCACACGGUGAACAACACCCAACCCCACCACAUGGGCGGCUUAGGGGGCACCACGUGGCGAGAAAAGAUGAUACAUCGCAGGAUGUAUCAGUUGGACCGGACCACCGCAAGAAAGCAUCGGACCCCUGUACGCAAAACCCGGAUCCCCGAUUAUGGUCCGGGACUCCCAAGCAAGCAUGUCGGGUCCCUUGGAUGGGGUCCAGAUCCCUCCGAGUAAGGUCCGGGCCACAACGAGGUCCCAUAACAGGGGAGACCCUGGCAUAAGCAAGGGUCCGAUACUGACACGUGUCCAGGCCUUAUCCUGUGCGCUUGCGCUCCCCGCUCAGGCGGAGACCCGAUGCUGCCACGUGGCUUGUUGCCCAUGACAUAAGCCAGCGGGCGGAGCCUGACGUAAGGCCUCUAGGCCGCGCGGUCUCUGCAUUUAUUGAGGAGAGGACGCGCCGCCUGUCCACCCUGCUGACAGGCAAAGUGCCCCCUCAGCAUUUAAUGCGUCCUGUCCACUCCGCAGGCAGGAGGCGCCAGGGCCAUCUUGCAGACGGUGCACCUGUCCAGUCCAUUGUCAAACAGUGCGCCCGUGCUGCGCGGCGCACUAUGCUCAUCAUCCCUUAUACGAGAAGCUUCCCCUGCACGCCGAUGCUACGCAGAUCUCGGAUGUCAGGGUGCAAGAAGAUUGCUCCAGCAACAAACAUUAGUAGCUCCAAGUACUACAUCCGUUAUGUUCCUGUGCCCACAUGUAGGGGCUCAGUGCUCUUGUACAUGCCCCCCUUAGCUAUAAAAGGGGAGGCAUGCAACGUUACGGAGGGGCUCUCUUGGACAAAAAACUGAGACUCUCAGCUCUCAAGCCUCCACAGCAAUCCAACACACACUGGAGUAGGGUAUUACACUCCGGCGGCCCGAACCACUCUAAAUCCUCACGUGUUCGUGUGCUCGGUGAUCGCUUAGCAAGACAGGUAAAACGCUUAAGCCCCUUCCUCAUCUUAGGAUUUAGGGCGGGUGCAUUCCACCACCCAGCCAGAGAAUUCCCUCUCCGACAUUUGGCACGCCAGGUAGGGGCCUAGGCAUUAGGUUUUUGCUUGUUUCUGUCACACCCUGGUUUCGGGUCACCAAGACCCGGGCGCGAACAUAAUCACCAGGUGUGCUGGGACCAAGUCUCACACAUAUGAUGAAUCAUGGCACAGGAUCGAAUGUCACAUCUUUACUACAUAACAGGAGUUUUAUACAAAAUAAAUAAUUACAUUAUAAGGAGACAACGGUCCAGCAACCCAAAGUUGACUGGCAGGCGACGGCCUAGACCUCUCACGAACUCGUCACAGCAUCCUCCAAGCGCCUCAUCCUGCGGUACCUGUUCUUGACCUGUGGGGGGGUGUGAGACAGCAAGAGUGAGCUCACAUACGUUCAUCGCUCAACAAGUUGUGGGGAAUAAUGUGCAUGAACUCGCCAAAGGUGGGAGCUCAUGUGAAGUGUAAGGCUUACCAAAGAGGAUGGUUAGAGCUGAGCAUUGCUUUUAAAGUUGGUCAAAAUUUUAUUAGCAGUUACUAAGUAUAAGUAAAUACCAACCCAAUUAAGUAGUAGAACAACAGUAACAACAUCACCUGCGAUGCAAUGCAUAUGACAAAUUGAAUUUAGUUCCAUAAAUUAAUCAUGUGAGUGUCCGAGCUGCUCAUGACCGUGAGCACGGCUAGUAUACCAGUUUUACACUCUGCAGAGGUUGCGCAUCUUUACCCACAAGUCAUGUUACCCAUCUGCCAAGAGACGGCCAAUCCCAUACACCUCUACCGAGGAGGCGAGGCAGGGUAAUACUACGAGGCCUUUACAAAGUUCCACUAGCUUCAGAAAACCCGCUACAGUUUAUAGGAAGCUCCAGUGCAGGAGUCCCUCGACUGACCACCAUCGCAGCAAAAUCAACCAAGGACCUCCCUACACUGACCACUCCCCUACCGCCCUUGCCCCUUUCAGGUAAGGUAAUCAUCCACUAGCUUUCCUAGUUAAUCAGCCAAGGGCGUCCAUAAUCCCUUGUGGUAGCACUGUUUUCCCGGGUGGUUCUCCAUGUUCCCAUUAACAUAAUGAUCUUAUCAUGAACAGUAAAUAAUAAACAAAUAAUAAAAGUAUAAUCAUGAAUAGUGUAUCUCCAUACCCAAAACCACAAUAAGCAAUAGCAAGUACUACCCAAGAAUUCAGUGGUAAACAAGGUAUAAAGAUAGUCAAAAUCUAGGGUAACCUAUUGGGUCCCAUCAAAAUUAACCUAUGCAGAUCAUUAUGAUUAAUAAGAACAUGACUGGGUAAAAAGAAGUGAUCAAGGGCACAACUUGCCUGGGACUUGAGAUUCCAGGUACCAACUUGCUCUUCAGGUGACACGUGUCCUCACUGCUAAACGUAGCAAUACAGACAAACAUGUAUAUGAAAAAUUAACAUCACACCAAACAUAAAAAUAAACUGCGUAAUAAUGAUCUACGCGUCGCUACGAGAUCGCAGAAAUAAGAAACACUAAAUUCAGAGCUACGAUUAUUGAGUUAUGAGUUUCCAAAAUUAUUUUAGUGUUUAGAAUAGAUUAAUCCAAAUGAACAAUUUUAAUUCAUGUUUCAUGGCUAAACAGUGUUACUAGUUGAUAGAAAAUAUUGAAACAAAAUUAAUGCAACUGGAACGGGUUAAAAAGGAGUUAAAAUGGAUUUAAUAUGAAUCAAGCAAGUUUCUUGGAUUAUUUUUAUAACAAAGAUCAUUAAUAAAACUAUUUCAUAAACUUUCUGGGAUGGGGCCACUAUUUCUCAUAAGCACAGGGUUAAAUACGCAAAUAAAAGGACCCGGUUAGAAUUAUUUUUGAACCAGCAUGGAUGGCGGGUUAGUUUCUAGUAAGCGCAGGGGCUUAUUAGCAAAAGGGGCGGGCCGAAGGGGUAUCACCCAGUAUCAGCCGUAGGAUAUGAUAUAUGUGGCUCGGAUUAGAUUAGAGCUUCAUCAAAACAGUAUGCGCUAUAGACCGUCGAUCCCGAGACCGACGGUUAGGAUUUUCAUGACGCCACAUCUCACACCAACCGCUCGAUUAGAUCAGACGGUACAGAUAUUCCUGGCCACAGCCUUAUCCACCACCCAAUCGUAGCCGCACGCCAACAAUCCAACGGUUCCAGUGCUUCACAUACCACUGUCUUCACCGGCAGCGGCGCCAGAGCGCAUGCCACGGCGGCGGACAACACCGGAGAGCACCCAAACCUCGCUGAGGGCCCCAAACGAUAUUUCGAGCAGCGUACACAUUCCAGGGAAAGCUACGAAUCUAAAGGGAGAGUUCUCACCAGGAUUUGAGGUCGUGACGUGCCCGGUCGCUGAUGUCGAGCGGAUCCAAGGUGGAGCCCAAUUCCGGUGAGCAAUCACAGGUACACCGGCCAACUCCCCCAUCCGGACAAGUUACCAACUCGUGCGAGUAGCACCUGGUGAUCUGCCCCGGCCAGGGAUUCAACUCACGACGGUGUUUCACAGGUUCCGCGCGCGGCGGCACUUACCCAAGCCCCACGGCGACAACGCUCGAGCUUCAAUGGAGCAGGAGAGAGUUGCGGCGAGGUCCGCAUUUAUACGCAUGGGAAGGUGUCCGUCUCCCAACUACCACGCGAGAUCGCCGGAGGAUCCCAUUACCCGGUCGGCGAAGACCACGGAGGGGAUUUGUGCGGCGGACGCGGGGCUUCGUUGCGAUCCUAGGAGAUUGAUUCGACAAAUGGGACCCACCAGUCGGUGGCUUGGUGACAAGCGCGCGUGGCAAAAGAGACUGGUUCGCGGGCCCCGCAUUUCAGAGACUGAGCGUGGCGGGGAAAAUUGGCAGGAAGGCCGAGGGUGCGCGCUUUAGUGGGCCGAGGGAGGCCGGAGCUGGGCCGAGCCAGGGAGGAAAUCAGACCAUGUGCGUUUUCUACUUUUGUUUUAUUUUUCUUUUAUAAUUUUUGUUUUGUUUCCAAAUCAAAAAUUCAAACUAAAUUCGAAUUCUGGUCUUAAUUUUCAGGUUUCAAACAUCAAACCAAAUUCUAAUUCUUCUAUUACUUGCACUGAAAUUAUUUAUUUAUUAUUCUUAUUUAUUAUUCUCCCUAUUGUUUAAAUAUGGAAGAAAGGAAUGGCUUUAUUAAAAUUUCCUUUCUCCCCUUUGUUUUAUAAUUUUUUUGAGGUCAAUUUAAAUUAUGAUUCCUUGAUUCAAAUAAGAUGCAUCACAGAAAUAACAUCAGCAUGAGGUACACAUUUCUUUAUUUAUUUAUUUGUUCUUUACAUAAUUUAAUGCCAUUAGUUGAGUAUGUAGAGAAAAAAAUAAAAAUAAAAAUCAAGGGAUCCCCAAAACACCCACUUAUUUGUUUAUCUAUUCAUUUUAUUAUUAUUUUGGAAAUAUAUUCAUUUUGGGAGUAGUAACUUCCAAAUUAUGAAUAUCUUUAAGGAAAGGUGUUUUGAUUUAAAACCUUUGGGGAAUUUUUCCUUAUUUUCACAAAAUUGAUCUUUAGGGUGUUACAGUUUCCUCGCUCAGCAUGAUGGUGCAAAUCGUGGAGCACCGCGCCAAGACUUCAACGGAUUUCCUGGUGAAGAAAGAAGCUGUUUCUUCCACGCCACAGGUUCCCAACCGCCCAGUGUCGGGCACUGCUGCUGUGCACGCUGCACGGCAGCAUACGGCUGCACAGACAUCCCGGACUCCGUCGAGGGCGGCUCCGGGAGCAUUGUUAGCAGCCAGGGAAUUGCUGCGUCACCCUCCAAGCUCCACGGCCUCACCGGGGGCCAUGAAGCAGUGGCAGGAUGACGUCAACCGACAGCUCGACAUGGCACAUUCUACCUCGACCAGGUCGAGGCCACAGUCAUCCCAUCGCCAAUAUGAGGCGUCGACGUCUAUGCGCUCACCCUCAGUGAGGGGUGCACAGACCAACGACCUCUGGGUAGAGCUCAACCACAGGCGUGCGGGAGAGGACGCCCGGGUCUCUUUAGAGAGGGCGUGCGAGCGCCGACAAAACAUCGAGGGUCGCAACCUCGAUCAAGACUUCGCUGAGGUAGUACCACAGGCCCCAAUGGGCACCCGGUCCCAAGCGGGUGUCCCCUUGGCCGGCGUAGGUUGCGCCGCUCUCGUGGAUCAUCUCCGCGCGGCAUCAUGGCCAUCAAAGUUUCGGCCACACCUGCCGGAAAAGUACGAUGGUACGUCAAACCCGUCGGAAUUCCUGCAGGUGUACGUCACCGCUAUCACAGCAGCAGGUGGAAACACCGCAAUGAUGGCGACAUAUUUUCAUGUCGCCUUAUCUGGACCUGCUCGGACUUGGCUCAUGAACCUCUCCCCAGGGUCAAUCUACUCCUGGGAAGAACUCUACGCUCGGUUCGUUGCGAACUUCGCCAGCGCUUACCAGCAACACGGUGUGGAGGCCCACCUCCACGCAGUGAGGCAGGAGCCCAGGGAGACUCUCCGGAUGUUCAUCUCCCGCUUCACCAAGGUGCAAGGUACUAUACCUCGCAUUUCCGAUGCUUCCAUCAUCACGGCCUUCCGCCAGGGAGUACGUGAUGAGAAAAUGUUGGAGAAGUUGGCCACGCAUGACGUGGAGAUUGUCCCCACACUCCUCGCUCUGGCCGACAAAUGCGCCAGAGCCGCCGAGGGUCGUGCAUGGCACUUGGCCCCACAGACUGGGGCUACCCAAUCGGGUGGCUCGGGUGCCAUCCCCCGGGACGGUAAGAAGAAAGAGAAGAAGGACCGCGACCACCAGAAGCCGCGGUCCACUGCGCUGGUCGUUGCAGUUGGGACUGGGGGCCGAGGCGACCGCAACAAACGCCCACGACCACAGAGGGGUAACAGCGGCUCAUGCCCUGUGCACCCCAACGGUCGCCACAACACCGUGGAGUGUCGCGAGAUCAUCGACCUCGCAAAACGCGUCAGCGAGCGGCACGAGUAGUCUUCUAAAGACGGCUCCCCACCUCGUCGCCGACCUGGCAAGGAAAGGGUCGACGACGGCGAGGUGGCCACGGCUGAACGGGACCUCGGGUAUCAGUCACUCGAGGGGGACCUGAAGGAUGUCUUCGUCGGAGACUCCCACUCCGGUGGUGACAACUAGAUGGACCCCCAGAUGGACCCCGUGCUCCCCGGUCUACGGGGCCGAAGCCUGCCUUCCUCCGGAAACCCUUCUGGACUCCCCACGGGUCCAGGCUUCUGACAAGUCCAUACAGAAAUGGCUACAGCACGAGGACGAGGACUCCCUCAUCAAACGCAGAUGGGAACCCAGGGUCGAGACCUAGUCCUACGGCAAGUACCAAACCAAGAAGGGCUCCGAAACUCUCCCCCAGCUGGGAAGGACCCUUCAAGGUGACGGGAAUACGCUGACCCGGGGGUGACUAUCUUGUUAUGACUGAAGGAGUGCCUCUUCCUGGUCACUGGAGCAUCUCUGUAAGUUCUAUCCAUAGGAGCAAGUCUGAGGGUCGAGUUUUUCUCCCUUUUGUAACUAGGUAACGCAUACGUGUACGCCAACCCGGUGAGGUCCGCCCUCAUAAGCCCGGCCUGUUGGUCUGCACCCAUGCAUGACAAGUUAUAAAGAAAAGAUUUACCCCCUCAGAUGUGCCUCUAUGAUAGUUUUAUCCUACUGCUCCAUGGUCUUACCUUGUAGUUUUCCGGAUCUUGUUUUAUCUAACCCACCCAAAUAGUUCCCUUUCCAUCGAACAUAAUGACAUCCGAAUUGAACAGCCAGGCUUGCAGUUUAGGACCUCUCUGCGAAAGAAGGAGGGCCCGAUAGCCUGUGGGCUGGUUCUAAAGAAUGGGAGCCCAUUCCAUGGGGUGGUCCGGAGCCUGUGUGGCCGAUUAGCCUGGUCCCGUACCCGAAAGCCUGCACACUCCACCACUCCGUGACGGGUACCCUAGUAUUUGGAGCUAUAAGUCCUAUGGGUCCGGCAACCUGGGGUCCGAAACUAGAGAAUGGACACUUGUCUCCUAGGGUGGUUCGGAGCCCGUGUAGUCGCUCAGCCUGGUUCCGUACCAUGGGCCCGCAUGAUCCACCACUCUGCGAUGGGUGUCCUAGUACCUAGAACCACCAUCCAGGGGGUCCGGACGCACAACUUGGCCUCCCAGACUAGACCCUGCAAGUCCCGAGCAUGUAUCAAAGAAUGGCUAGUGUCAGAUGGCAGGUCCUGUGGGUGUACUACUAAUGCUCCCUAGUCGAAGCUGUGUGCAGGCCCAGGUCCCAGUCGAGGCUACCUCCUGGGGGCCAUUGCCAAAUCUUUCUUAGGUAUGCUGGUCUGCAACCUCGACAAAUCGAGCCUACAUCCUAGGGGGGCAGGUACCAAGGAGGAAUUGGUUACACCACACACAAUAGGGACAAGUGGUACACAGAUAAGUGCUAAUACUGCUUGAUAAAUAGUACUCGAAAGUACCUUAGGAAAAGCAAAAGUAUUACAUCCGCUUUCAAGCGGAGUCCUAGCUCCAUCUCUACUCUGCAGGAAUGGACUACUCUGCACCAGCAGGGUCGCGUUGGAAGCUAGCUCUGGGCAGCCUCACCAACGGCGGCGACCACCUCUACUCCAAGCGGCUCGCCAGCGGAGGCGGCCACCUCUGCACCAACGGCUCGCCAGCGGCGGUGGCCACCUUUGCACCGGUGGCUUGCCGGCGACGGUGGCCACCUCAGCGCGUGCGAAGAGGUCCUCGCCCCCGUCCUCCUACGGGGGUGAGGACAAGACCAUCCAAGAACGCGGCCACCACCUCCACAGCGUAUGACAUCUUGUACAACCCCCCAGGCAGCGUCGGAGCAGUGCGGCCAGCGGCGCAGGGGACACCACGGAUGCGGUGGACCUGCGCACGACGCGACCGUCGCCCGUGCGGUGGACGGAAAGCCAUGCCCCGCUUGGCGGUGGGAGGCAGCGUUGGAGGCGGCACCAAAACCAUCAAAGCCAAAGAGAUGGAGCCGCAGCACGGCUCGCUUCCCACCCCAAAGAGUUGGGGGUGCGUGGGAUGGAGCCGUGGCUCAACCCGCUGUCCACCUUCACGAGGCUGGUGAUCAUCCUUCCCUCCGAAUGCUAGAGGAAGAAGCGGGAAGGAGCGUCGCCUCCACGGACAUCCCGCGGAGGUAGGCGACGAUGGCUGCCUGAAGGAUGAAGCAGGACACCACAGGUAGAGGCUGGGGGCUAAGCCCCUCCAGCAGCUGCACGAAGAAAGAUGGGAUCGGCAGAGCCAACCCGCUGGGGAGUUUGGAAACAAAGAACACAAACUCUUUGACAGCAAGGUCGCCGAGAGGAGAGACACCAGCACAAGUCCUCCCGGCAAAUGCCAGCACACCCCAUCCGAGCGGGUUGCGCGCCAAGUUGAGUGCCACCUCGGGCUGGAAGCGCUCGCAAGGGUCUAGCAAGGCCAUGGUGACUACGGCAACGCGAAGCAGAGACCUUGAAGGAAAAGGGGCACGGAGAGCUCGGAGGCGAAGGGACGCCGUGAGAGGGAGAGAAGCAAGGCAUGGCUGCUAUUCGAGGGAUGAACCCCUCUUUAAAGGCAGGCUCCCCUGCUCCCGCCUCGAAGCGCCGUGAGAAGCCUCCCCCAAUGCACACCGAGGUAUCCAUCCCAUGACACGGGGGCCCAGUCCCACAAGUCAUAUAGCUGGCGCGCUGGCCUUCGAGUGCGAAGAAGGCGAACCGCCGCACAGGAAGCGUGCUACCGCCCCGCGGUAGUACGCCUCCUUCAUCUUCACUACGACCAACGGUCAGGAAGGCGAACCACAGCACAAGGAGCAUGCUACCGCCCCGCGGUAGUGCGCCCCCUCGUCUUUGCUGCAACCUGCGGUCCAACCUCUGGCAUGGGGGCCCAGGCCCACAUGUCACGCACCCGGCGUGCUGGUUUCUGGGUGCAGAGAAGUCGCACCGCCACUCGCACCAAUACCGCGUCUCCUCAGGGCCGUCGCAGAAGACUGAGAAGAUAAAUUUUCAAAACCAAUGCAGCAACUCGAGGCACCCCGUGCAUGGCCCAACAAAGACAUUAAGUGCGGAGGUCACGGGUCAGCCAGCCGCAGGGACAGGCAUGGCAGUCGGCGUGACCAUGGGCGGACCGGCAGUAAUUGCAUCAACGGGCGCGCAGGGGCAGCGAGCCAAUCACCAAUAAAACUUUGGCCCCACCUGCAGGCCCGUAUCCUCCCCUGAGGCGGGCCCAGGGGCCACUGUCGGUACCCUGAAUCAGGAGUACCCCUUACUGAAGUAUGAAGACACGGAGCCCGUACGAUGUUCUCUAGUCGCACGAUGAACAAUACCCGACCCCACCACGUGGGCGGCUCGGGGGCACCACGUGGUGAGAAAAGAUGAUACAUCCCAGGAUGUAUAAGUUGGACCGGACCACCGCAAGAAAGCACCGAACCCCUGUACGCACAACCCGGACCCUCGAUUACGUCCCGGGACUCCCAAGCAAGCAUGUCGGAUCCCUUGGAUGGGGUCCAGAUCCCUCUGAGUAAGGUUCGGGCCACAACGAGGUCCCAGAACAGGGGAGACCCUGGCAUAAGCAAGGGUCUGGUACUGACACGUGUCCAGGCCUUAUCCUGUGCGCUUGCGCUCCCUGCUCAAGCGGAGACCCGAUGCUGCCACGUGGCUUGUUGUCCGUGACAUAAGCCAGCGGGUGGAGCCUGACGUAAGGCCUCUAGGCCGCGCGGUCUCUGCAUUUAUUGCGGAGAGGACGCACCGCCUGUCCACCCUGCUGACAGGCGAUGUGCCCCCUCAGCAUUUAAUGCAUCCUGUCCACUCCGCUGGCAGGCGGCGCUAGGGUCAUCUUGCAGACAGCGCACCUGUCCAGUCCAUUGUCAAACAGUGCGCCCAUGCUGUGCGGCGCACUGUGCUCAUCAUCCCUUAUACGAUAAGCUUCUCCUGCAUGCCGAUGCUACACAGAUCUCGGAUGUCAGGGCGCAAGAAGAUUGCUCCAACAGCAAACAUUAGUAGCUCCAAGUACUACAUCCGUUAUGUUCCUGGGCCCACAUGUCGGGGCUCAGUACCCUUGUACAUGCCCCCUUAGCUAUAAAAGGGGAGGCAUGCAACUUUACGGAGGGGCUCUCUUAGACAAAAAACUGAGACUCUCACCUCUCAAGCCUCCACAGCAAUCCAACACACAGUGGAGUAGGGUAUUACGCUCCGACGGCCCGAACCACUCUAAAUCCUCGCGUGUUCGUGUGCUCGGUGUUCGUGUCCUACCUUUUUCAUAAACUAGUUUUCCCUAAAUUGACAUACUAUAUACAAAAUCUAUCCAAAUUUUGAAGAUCAAAUUUGUUCCAUUUAAUUAUUCAUGACUUAUAUCUUGGUAUUGCUUUUUUGUCAUCAGAAUAUAUUUUGAACACAGUAAAAGUUAUACACGAUUUUUUUAGACAAUACUAAAGUAAGUUGUAAUCAAGAACACUUGACGUGUGAACCAAUUGCCACUUUUAGAUAUAAUCAUUGUAAUUUUGGUCAUCCUAUGUGUGUGCAUUCAUCUAUGCAUUCUAGGAUUUCAAUUAGUCUCAAUCUUGUAGUAUUUGUUCCUUGAUUGUCAAAUCACUUCUCAUCUAACUACUAUGCUUGUUUAACCAUCAGAACAUAACUACAACAAAAUCCAUUUAUAAAGGUUUUGAUAGCAAACUUUACAUAUUCAUAUCAUGUUAAGGUUGUCACAUGUUUAAAGGUGAAGAGAUCAUGCAUGUCAUUCCACGUAGAUGAAAAGAAUUCCUAUAUAAAAUGACACAUUUUCUUGUAGGUAGUGGAAAGUAUCUUUCCAGCAAAGACUAUAAUCCGAUAAAGUUGAUAACUAAAUGUCGAAAAAGAGUAGAUGCCAUAUCAUCUAUACCUUAUCUGUUGUUUGGAAAAAAAGACUAACUACAAAAAAUAUAUAUGAGAUCUCACUUGUAUAAAUAGCUCCCAAAUCAGUAGUUAACCAUCACCCAUAAUAUUUUGAACAUUCAGAAACACACCUAGCGAAGCGCACUAGCAACGACAUAACAACAAUGGCUACUAAGAUAUUAUCCCUCCUUGCGCUUCUUGCCCUUUUUGUUAGCGCAACAAAUGCGUUCAUUAUUCCACAAUGCUCACUUGCUCCUAGUGCCAUUAUUCCACAGUUCCUCCCACCAGUUAGUUCAAUGGGCUUCGAACAUCCAGCUGUGCAAGCCUACAGGCUACAACAAGCGCUUGCGGCGAGCGUCUUACAACAACCAAUUGCCCAAUUACAACAACAAUCCUUGGCACAUCUAACAAUACAAACCAUCGCAAUGCAACAGCAACAGCAACAACAGUUCCUACUAGCACUGAGCCACCUAGCCAUGGUGAACCCUGGCGCCGACUUGUAACAACAACUGCUUGCAUCCAACCCACUUGCUCUGGCAAACGCAGUUGCAAACCAGCAACAACAACAGCUGCAACAGUUUCUGCCAGCGCUCAGUCAACUAGCCAUGGUGAACCCUGCCGCCGACCUACAACAGCAACAACUGCUUUCAUCUAGCUCGCUCGCUGUGGCCAAUGCACCUACAUACCUGCAACAACAAUUGUUGCAACAGAUUGUACCAGCUCUGACUCAGCUAGCUGUGGCAAACCCUGCUGCCUACUUGCAACAGCUGCUUCCAUUCAACCAACUGACUGUGUCGAACUCUGCUGCGUACCUACAACAGCGACAGCAGUUACUUAAUCCACUGGCAGUGGCUAACCCAUUGGUCGUUGCCGUCCUACAGCAGCAACAUUUGCUGCCAUACAACCAGUUCUCUUUGAUGAACCCUGUCUUGUCGAGGCAGCAACCCAUCGUUGGAGGUGCCAUCUUUUAGAUUACAUAUGAGAUGUACUCGAUAAUGGUGCCCUCAUACCGGCAUGUGUUUUCUAGAAAUAAUCAAUAUAUUGAUUGAGAUUUAUCUCGAUAUAUUUCUCAACUAUGUUCAUCAUAUAAAUAAUUGAAAACAUCAAAUCGUAAUUAUAAACUCAUCCUUGGUCAAUACAUAGACAAUACGAUAUUACUUCAACAUCCCAAUGAUGUCAUAGCCCAACCUCUUGAAUGUUACUGUUUUAAUGUGUGAGGGUAUAUUUAUAAGAUUGACGUGACUAUUUGUGCUUUUUUUGAGUACAUACAUAUAUGGUAUGUUGAUUUGAUAUAGUGAUGGACACAUGCUUUGACCAUGAAUAUUCAAAUCAGUUGUACUUGCACGAAGCAAAACAUAAUAUAAGUUUAGGAGUAGACUUAUAACUAUGUCCAAACAUGCUCACACAAAUUCAUACCACAUUAUAAUUUUUUGGUAAAUAUUCCACACAUGUAUGUUUUAUAAGAACCCAAAUUUUGCAGACAAAUGCUGAAUUGUAGACAUGUAGAAUUCUUUGAAGCUCGUGAACUUAACAACACCAAGGUCAUUAAAUCAACUCGACCCUAUGAGUAACAAUUUCGAUAUUGCAAACACCAAAUUAUAGAACUUAUUGGCUGAAAAAUUAUGAGCAAUGUGAAGUUUAAAUUAUUAUACCAUAAAUAUAUCAAAGAAUUUUUUUGAGGAACGUAAAAAUUGCAUGGAAUGGGCUGCCCAACGUGCUAGCUCACUUCUAUGCUAGGUAGCAUUACCAAAGAUGGGAAUGUUGCUGAUGAACGCAAAACCCACUCAAAUCAUAUAUAUAUUUGGGAUGUUUAGUUGUAAAAGUGAAGACCUAAGAUAAAAGUACCAAUUGUCCAAUGACAUUCAAUUAUUUUGUUCGGGGAGCACUUUGUGUGUCAUUUGGACUCGUAUCUUAGUCCAAUAGAUUGCAUUUUCCUUCAAUGUGUAGAAUCCGACAAAGUGCUUGUUCCAAAAUUGUAAAUCUAACUAAAUUAUAAAGCUUGUUACUAAUUUGAUGGUUUAUUAGGUGUAGCUCAUAAAACUAGAACCAACAUAGCCUGCACUCACAUGUCAUAGAAAAUAGGAGUAUCCAAGCACAAUUUGUGUGAGCAUACAUGACACAAAUUAUAUAUAGACUGAUAUAAUUAAUUCCUUGAAAAAAGAAAAAGGAAACAAUAAAAUGUUUUUUGAUAUUGCAGGAUAUCUCCUUUAGCUAAUGAGGAGUACUAAAAAGAUGUUGCACUUUUGGGUGGCGAGAAUUCGUCAAUCAUAACUUUGACAUAAUUUUAAUCCGGAUCACAUAUAUAUCAUCAUAUAUUAAUUAUUAAAUUAAUAUGGUUCCAUCAUCGUAUUAUUAAUUCAAUCCGAUAUAACCAUCAGAUCUUAAUUAUUAAAUUAAUCUGGAGCGUACAUUAUAUUAUCAAACCAAAUCAACCCGACAUAACCAUCUAAUGUUCCGCUAUGCACAAUAAGCGCAUGGUCUGGGGCUUAAUCAUCCGGAAUAACCAUCCGAUCUUCUGGUAAGCAUAGUAAGCGUAUGGUUCACGACUUUGUCAUUCGGAAUAACCAUUAGAUUUUCCGGUAUGCACUGAAAGCAAAUGAUCCGGGGUUUUGGUAGGUGUAACGUUGUUAGGUGAAUGCGUAUGUUGGCUGCUGUUGCACGUGCGAACUGCUGUGUGGAAGCUGCUGGGUCCUCCUCUAUUAUGUGUGGCUUGUGGCGGGCUUGGACUGCUCUCAUGGCUUCGUCACUUGGAACUGCUCGUCCGUCCGGUCCUGCGUGCAUCUCUCUCUCCUAGCUGGAGGCGUGGUGGCCUGGUGGUUUCUCUGUGUUUUUCUUUUUACGACGGCUUCUCUUGUUGGCUAGGGUUGGCAUCAGGGGCCCGGUCAGCUAUGCUCCCUCAGCUUUUAUAGGCAGCGAACCACCGCAGGCAGAGCAGAGAUAAAGAUUCCAACUGCAUCCAUCUACAAACAAGGAUCUCGACGGAAGAGAUAAAAGCAUGCAGCACAAUUGCCGCUGCCCUACUGCAGCCUUGACUCUCGUCAAUUGGAUGACCAAAAGAUGCCACCGUCUAAGCUCUUUUCUUUGUGCAGCUGCCUGUUUGUCACCAACACAAAAUUUGUAGGUGCAUGUUUGUCACCAAUUAUCCUCUACCACAAAGAACUACAAUAGUGGUGGAGGAUCCGAUCCGGCACAGAUCCACUAUAAUGCAUAGUUGGUGAUGCAUGCCUAAUGGUGGUUGUUUAGUGUUAGUUUGGGCAUGUUGGAACUAAGCAAUUGUCGAUGCCAUACACUAGAAGUGAAGAAUGUUGUUAGCGUUAGGAGUAGAGGUGUCAAUGGGGACCGAUGCCCGUUAAGCCAUGGAGAAUUUCUCUAUUAGAUUUAGGGUAUGGGAAGAUUUUAAUUUCCAUUUGCUGAAUUUAGGUAUACAUCUAUUUGAAUCAACAGUUACAGUUCAACAAAAACUCUUUCCGCUCUAGUUUGUUUCGUGUCCUACCUUUUUCCUAAACUAGUUUUCCCUAAAUUGACAUACUCUCUAGAAAAUAUAUCCAAAUUUUGAAGAUCAAAUAUGUUCCAUUGAAUUAUUCAUGACAUAUAUCUUGGUAUUGCUUUUUUGUCAUCAGAAUAUAUUUUGAACUCAGUAAAAGUUAUACACGAUUUUUUUAGACAAUACUAAAGCAAGUUGUAAUCAAGAACAUUUGAGGUGUGCGCCAAUUUCCACAUUUAGAUAUAAUCAUUCUAAUUUUGGUCAUCCUAUGUAUGUGCAUUCAUCUAUGCAUUCUAGGAUUUCAAUUAGUCUCAAUCUUGUAGUAUUUGUUCCUUCAUUGUCAAAUCACUUCUCAUCUAACUACUAUGCUUGUUUAACCAUCAGAACAUAACUACAACAAUAUCCAUUUAUAAAGGUUUUGAUAGCAAACUUUACAUAUUCAUAUCAUGUUAAGGUUGUCACAUGUGUAAAGGUGAAGAGAUCAUGCAUGUCAUUCCACGUAGAUGAAAAGAAUUCCUAUAUAAAAUGACACCUUUUCUUGUAGGUAGUGGAAAGUAUCUUUCCAGCAAAGACCAUAUAAUCCGAUAAAGUUGAUAACUAAAUGUCGAAAUAGAGUAGAUGCCAUAUCAUCUAUACCUUAUCUGUUGUUUGGAAAAAGACUAAAUCCAAAAAUAUAUAUAUAAGAUCUCACUUGUAUAAAUAGCUCCCAAAUUAGUAGUUAACCAUCACCCAUAAUAUUUUGAGCAUUCAGAAACACACCUAGCGAAGCGCACUAGCAACGACCUAACAACAAUGGCUUCCAAGACAUUAUCCCUCCUUGCGCUUCUUGCCCUUUUUGUGAGUGCAACAAAUGCGUUCAUUAUUCCACAAUGCUCACUUGCUCCGAGUGCCAUUAUUCCACAGUUCCUCCCUCCAGUUACUUCAAUGGGCUUCGAACACCCAGCUGUGCAAGCCUAUAGGCUACAACAAGCGCUUGCGGCGAGCGUCUUAGAACAACCAAUUGCCCAAUUACAACAACAAUCCUUAGCACAUCUAACCAUACAAACCAUCGCAACGCAGCAGCAACAAGCACUGAGCCACCUAGCCGUGGUGAACCCUAUCGCCUACUUGCAACAACAGCUGCUUGCAUCCAACCCACUUGCUUUGGCAAACGUAGCUGCAUACCAACAACAACAACAGUUGCAACAGUUUCUGCCAGCGCUCAGUCAACUAGCCAUGGUGAACCCUAUCGCCUACCUACAACAGCAACAACUUCUUUCAUCUAGCCCGCUCGCUAUGGGCAAUGCACCUACAUACCUGCAACAACAGUUGUUGCAACAACAGUUGCUGCAACAAAUUGUACCAGCUCUUACUCAGCUAGCUGUGGCAAACCCUGCUGCCUACUUGCAACAACUACUUCCAUUCAACCAACUGACUGUGUCGAACUCUGCUGCGUACCUACAACAGCGACAACAGUUACUUAAUCCACUAGCGGUGGCUAACCCAUUGGUCGCUGCCUUCCUACAGCAGCAACAAUUGCUGCCAUACAACCAGUUCUCUUUGAUGAACCCUGCCUUGUCGUGGCAGCAACCCAUCGUUGGUGGUGCCAUCUUUUAGAUUACAUAUGAGAUGUACUCGAUAAUGGUGCCCUCAUAGCGGCAUGUGUUUCCUAAAAAUAAUCAAUAUAUUGAUUGAGAUUUAUCUCGAUAUAUUUCUGAACUAUGUUCAUCAUAUAAAUAAUUGAAAACAUCAUAUCAUAAUUAUAAACUUAUGCUUGGUCAAUACAUAGACAAUACAAUAUUACUUCAUCAUCCCAAUGAUGUCCAAGCCAAACCUCUUGAAUGUUACUGUUUGGGUGUGUGCGGGUGUAUUUAUAAGAUAGAUGUGACUAUUUGCGCUUUUUGUUGAGUACACACAUAUAUGGUAUGUUGAUUUGAUAUAGUGAUGGACACAUGCUUUGACCAUGAAUAUUCAAAUCAGUUGUACUUGCACGAAGCAAAACAUAAUAUUAGUUUAGGAGUAAACUUAUAACUGCGUCCAAACAUGCUCACACAAAUUCAUACCACAUUAUAUUUUUUUGGUAAGUAUUCCACACAUGUAUUUUUUACAAGAACCCAAAUUUUGCACACAAAUGUAGCAUUCUAGAUAUGUAUAAUUCUUUGAAGCCCGUGAACUUAACAACAGCAAGGUCAUUAAAUCAAUUGGACCCUAUGAGUAAUAAUUUCGAUACGCAAACACCAAAUUAUGGAACUUAUUGGCUGAAAAAAUUAUGAUCAAUGUAAAGUUUAAAUUAUUAUACCAAAAAUAUAUCAAAGAACUUUUUUGAGGAACGUAAAAAUUGCAUGGAAUGGGCUGUCUAACGUGCUAGCUCACUUUUAUGCUAGGUAGCAUUACUAAAGAUGGGAAUGUUGCUGAUGAACGCCAAACCCACUCAAAUAAUAUUUAUAUUUGGGUUGUUUAGUUGUAAAAGUGAAGAUCCAAGAUUAAAAUACCAAUUGGCCAUUGUCAUUCGAUUGUUUUGUUUAGAGAGCACUUGGUGCGUCAUUUGGACUCGUAUCUUAGUCCAAUAGAUUGCAUUUUCCUUCAAUGUGUAGAAUCCGACAAAGUGCAUGUUCUAAAAUUGUAAAUCUAACUAAAUUAGAAAGCUUGUUACUAAUUCGAUGGUUUAUUAGUUGUAGCUCAUAAAACUAGAACCAACAUAGCCUGCACUCACAUGUCAUAGAAAAUAGGAGUAUCCAAGCACAAUUUGUGUGAGCAUCCAUGACACAAAUCAUAUAUAGACUGAUACAAUUAAUUCCUUCAAAAAUAAAAAAGGAAAAAAUAAAGUGUUUUUGGAUACUGUAGAAUAUCGAGCGAAGGGUGACGUCUUCACCUUCGCCCCAACAUUUGCCCUCCGAGGGACCAGUUCGACUAAGUCAUUUGGUGCCGAAGGUGUCGCUAGAUGGUGGAGACGCUGCCCUCGCUCGAAGUGGUUCCGCGGGGGUUUUUGACAUGACCGUUGAUUGACGCCACACUGUUGGAUUGCUGGCUUCCCGAAGCGUCGCGCCCUGUGUAUAUAAAGGGGGUGGGGGCGGCGGGGAUUGAAAUUUACCUUUCUGCGCGCCGCGAAAACCCUAGCCUCCCUGUCAAACUGCUCGCUUGCUCGUCUGCCCUCCUUGCUCCUGUUCGUCGGAGAACUGGCCCACGUGAAGCAGACUGUGCGCCGCCGUCGACGGUACGUAGCCAUGCCGUCUUCCUCCUCGUCUGCUGCGACCACGCCGACGGCCAAGGCGACUUCCGAAGAUCUCUCGGGCACUGUGGCGGCGGCGGAAUUACGACCGGGUGAUACGGUGGAAUUCGGUGUUUCGCGGAUGUCGUUGGUCCGCGUGCAAGAUAUGCAACAGUUGGUGUAUUUUGGCGGCGGGGUUGGUCGAGUCCCGGGGCCAGAGGAGGUCCCCGAGCUCGAGGGCGAAUUGGUUGUUUUUGAGGCAUUUUUCAUCGCCGGCCUUCGCCUGCCUGCGCAUCGUUUUAUGUCGGAGGUUCUGCAGAAGUUCAAAGUCCAGGUUCAUUAGCUCACACCGAACGCCGUGGUGGCGUUGGCGAAGUAUGUCUGGGCAACGACGUCGUAUGGCGGUCAGCCUUCGGUGGAAGUCUUCGCCAAGCAAUACGGUCUGCAUUGGCAGAAGAGAAAAAAUGGACAUAAGAUUGCUCAAUUCGGAUCAUGCACUUUCACGCCGAAGUCCGGGAAGACUUCGAUGGAAGUGGUGGAGCUGGUCCCCUGUGCCCAAAAUAAGUGGGGCAACUGGUGGGACUACUGGUUCUAUGUUUCGGAGGCUGAAGUCGAAGAUCACCCAGGGCUCCCUGCCGCCAUUAUGUGCUCUCAUUACUAUGUGGCAUACCCGCCAUUUGAAGUGGCGGAGGAUGAUGAAAAUGAAAGGGCCCUUCGGAUCGCUGCCCGCACGAGUAGUGGGCGCGAUCUAGUUGAGGAAUUCAUAGGGUAUGGGGUGUGGCCCUUGGCGCAUGGAUGGGCGUUGGGCAAAGUAUGCCCUCGCGAGAUGCCCUCCCUGGGCGGGCGGAAGGUGCGAAGUCCGCUUUUUGCUUUGGAUGUGCGAGGGCGGGAUCCUGCCGCGGUUGUGCAUGAGGCGGAGGAUGGGGCGGUGAGAAUUGUUGGGUGCUACGUGCCGAAGACGGAGGCCCAGCGGAGUUGGGAUAUACGUGGAUCCAACGACCGCCUGAAUAGGGUCUUCGAGUUGAAUUGUUUGCCGUAUGGCGGUUAUCCCGGGGAAGACGUUGUCGACCACAGCGGGAAAAAACCAGCGGCUGUGACUGAAGACGACCCCGCGUCGGAGGCCGCCCCAGCCACUAAGAAGAGGAAGCUAGGUACUGCGGUGGGAGAACUGGGGGUCUCCGAUAGUUUUGCUAUGGAGUUGAUGGGGACAUGCGUGGCCCCCGGGGGAAGGAUGUCUUCGCCCGAGCUCCGGGAGUCUUCGGCGCGGAUGUUGGAGGUUACCGGGGGUCGAUGGCCCAAAAACGUUCCUAUCCCCCGCGCGGCUGGCGAAGACUUCUUUACAUCUCGCAUGGCUCGUGACUUGAGAGUGUUUCCUUACAGACGGAAUAUUGCUGUUGUUGUGUCGAUAGUGAUGAACAAGGAUCACCAGGAUGCUGCGCAGAAGCGUCGGGCGGUCAUCAGGCUCCCCGACGCUAGGCGUGAAGCGAAGAGAGCGCGAGGGAGUGCGAAGGCUAUCGUCCCCGGCGGUAGCCAGCCGAUGCUGGCUGCAAAGCCGGCCGCGCCUGGAUCCAGCAAGGUGCCGGAGAGCGGGAAGGCGGUCGGCGCCGGUGGAACCAAGUCUGCCCCGGACGGAGCUGUGAAGGUCCGGGAGCUGCCUUCGACGGGGAAACGCGUUGCCGACUUCGGCAUGAAUAUUAGCGUGGACGACUAUCUCGUUGGUAAGCAUUUUUUUUAUUCUGACCGGUGAUACGUUGCAGGGUCGAGUGAGGGGCAACUGGUUGUUGUCCCACCUGUGGUGGCAACCACGGCGUCAACCGCGGUGCUUGGGGUGAAGGGUGGCGCUUUCAGCGCUGGCGGCGAGAUUUCGGCGGCCACUGCCGUCAAGGACGAAGCGGGCACUAUGUCCCGCCGGCUGAGGGAGGCGUCGCAGCAGCUAAGUCAAGUAAGUUGAGCUGGACUUCGGUGUUUCCUGCUUUCAUGGGGAUUGUGGUCUCAUGUGUGUCUGUUAGGCGGCCGACUUCGCCGACCGCGUGGCGUCGGGUGCCCUUACUGCAGAUGUGUCUGCCGAAGUCGAGAGACUUUGGGCGCAGCACGCGGACGCCGUCCGGGAGAAGUCGGCUGCGGAGAGCAAGAGCCACAGGCUGGCGGAGAAGGUGGCCGCCCUGGAGGGCGAGAGGAUGGACCUCCGGCGCCAGUUGGUGGAGGAAAGGAGGGAGGCCAACCAGGCCAUCGCCAAGGUGCAGGCGGCGCAGGCGGAGGCCAAAUUGGCGUGGGCGGAGGGGAGUCUCGCCAGCCAACGCGCCGAGGAAUGGGAGGUGCGGUUCAACGCUCUGCACGCCCGCAUGGAGAGGGCCGAGGCCUCUACGCGCUCGGAAGUUGAGCGAACGCGCAAACAGCUCGUGGACUCAUACCGGGAGCUGGGUGCGCGGACUGCUGACUUCGAGGUGCCCGACCGAGAAGCGAGCCUUCGCUUCCUCGAGUGGCUGCAAGAGGAAUUGCUGGCACUCCCGACCAUCGUGGAGGGAUUCAUGUCUUUUGCCUCCCUCGUCACCUGCGAAGGGGCCAUGAAUGCGUUGUCCCGCAAGGGAUGCAAUCACUAUGAGGGCUUCGACCGGUCCGAUGAAGACUUUGGGCGCGAAAUUUUUAAGGUCGAAGACCCUGUGGUGAAGGAUUCUGCGGGGGCCCUCUUCGAUCGGAUGUGGGGUCCUCAUGGCCGGGAGGCGGUCAAGGAGCGGUCUGAUCGGGCGAGAGAGCAUGUAAGUCUUGUCUGUUGUUUCGUGUGAUUGAAUGUGGGUACGUGUGGGUUUGCUGAAUGAGUGUGUUGUUGCUGCAGAUGGCGCAUGCUGAGGAUGUCAAAGACCUCGGAGGUCUAAACAGUGCGCCGCCCGAGGCUGCGGAGGGCAGACCGGUGCUGCCCUCGGAUGCUGGUGAACGCCCAUCGGACGUGCCCGUGCCUGCUGCUGUCGGCGAAGACCCUGUGUCGGCCCCUGUGCCGACAGUCAAAGGCGCUCAUGAGGUGGUGGCGGAGCCGGUGGUCGAAGGCCCUACGGCCGCGGAGGCGCCCGCGCAGGUGGCUAAGUAGUUGAAUAGGUUUAGGGGGGUUGUAAAUUUUGUCUACGUGUUACUGAACCUCGGUUGCUGCGCAGGUUCAGGGUUUUGGGCCUGCGUACGCAACCGCUACUGAAAGUGCUAAUUUUGUGGCGGCUUCGACCGUGGUUGCGGAAAAUGAUUCGGGUGAUUCUGUGUCUAAGUUUUUUGAGUCUGAUGAUUCUGUGAGUUCGGUGGUGUGGACUGAAGAGUCUUCGGAUGAGGACUUGGAUUAUUUUGCGGCAUUGGAUGUGGCUGCGGCGGAGGCUUCGCCGUGUGUGAUGGGUGCUGAGGUUCUCGGUCCGAGCGCUGGGCGUAGGCGGCAAAGGGCGGUGGCGAAGCGCGGAGUGAGUGAGGUGGAGGGUGGUCGUCUUCGUGUGGACAGGGCUGGUAGGCGGGAAUUGUUGUCCUUGCCAGAUGGGGCGAGUGUAGGUGAGGGGGAAUUGCGAAGUCUGUUUGAGGGUGAGGAGCUGAGGAUAAUGUUGUUUAACUAUAGGGAGAUGGGUAUCAUCCCGAAGGUUGAACCAUUGUAAGGUGUGAUGCCCUCGUUGUACGUAUGUAACUAUAAUUUGUAUGAUGAGGCUGUGUGCCUUAGCUGAUACGGUCGUGCCCGUAGGGGACUUGUGCACUAGGUCUAGCACGUUUAUUAUGUCGGUCCAGCUGCACCCUCAGGCGACUUUUGCACGGAUAGUCUUGGGAGGAAGACUUCGAUUUUUCGCACUUGUUGUGCUAGUCCGGCUGCACCCUUAGGCGACUUUUGCACGGAUAGUCUUUUGGAGAAGACUUCGAUUUUGCGCACUUGUUGUGCUAGUCUGGCUGCACACUUAGGCGACUUUUGCAUAGACAAUAUUUUGGGGAAGACUGGUUUUGCGCACUUUUUGUGCUAGUCCGGCUGCACCAUUAGGCGACUUUUGCACGGAUAGUCUUUUGGGGAAGACAUGUUUUGCGCACUUGUUGUGCUAGUCCGGCUGCGCCCUUAGGCGACUUUUGCGCGGACUGUCGCACGUGAGGGUAGCCAGCGCUGCCCCUCGCGGUGACUUCGUGUUUGUCGAAUGUCGAAGACUGUCGAUGCGGUCUUCUUUCGACGUUGUAAUUUUUUGCGGGGGAUUUUUUGCGUGUAUAUUACAUGGCUCCACCUCAUUAAAAACCUCACCCCCCGGUAGGAAAAGAGUGCGGGCCGGAAUAAAAACUGUCUUGCGAAUUACAAGGGUGAGCUGGCCCUAAGGAGUCAAACAAAAAACUUGCGAAGAUUGUCAAUGUUCCAAGAAUGUUCAAAGUCUUCGCCAGAUGGCGUUGUGAGCCUGUACGCGCUGGGGGACGCCUUCGUCUUGACAAUGAAAGGGCCCUCCCAUUUUUGCUCUAGCCUGCCCCGGGACUCUGUCCGAGUUGUCCGGACGAGUACGAGGUCUCCUUCGCUAAAUUCCCUCGGGAUGACUGUGUGGUCGCGCCAUGCUUUUGUUUGAGCUUGGUAUUUGUUUAGAGCCUGUAGGGAGAAGACACGGUCUCCGUCGAUGAGGUCCUUCGAAGUAGGUUCGUCUACGUCGGGGACGGCUGACGCGACUGUCCGCAGUGACCCAUGUUUUAUUUCUUGCGGAGUCAUGGCCUCCGAUCCAUAUAGAAGGCGGAAAGGGGUGAACCCAGUCGCCCUGAACUCAGUCGUGUUCAGCGCCCAGACCGCUUUAGGUAACAGGUCUGCCCACUUUCCUUUUUUGUCGUCGAGGAGCAUUUUCUUGAUGGCUGUGAAAAUUUUACCGUUGGCGCGUUCCACAACUCCGUUGGAUUGCGGGUGGUACACUGAGGCGAAGGCAAGCUUGGUGCCGAUGGAGAAGCAGAAAUCCUUGAAGUCUUGGCUGUCAAAUUGCUUGCCAUUGUCAGCUGUGAGUUCGGACGGGACUCCGAAGCGGCAAACAAUGUUUUGCCAGAAGAAUUUCUGGGCAGUCUUCGAUGUUAUCGUGGAUACAGUCCUCGCCUCGAUCCAUUUGGUAAAAUACUCGACGGCGACGAAGGUCAACUUGAGGUUCCCCUAGGCCGUGGGUAGGGGCCCGACAAUGUCCAGGCCCCAGCGCUGAAGAGGCCACGUGUGGGCGAUUAGCUUUGUGAAUUGCGAAGGGCUUCCCGAGCGUGGAGAAAAUUUCUGGCAGGCUUCGCAGGACCUUGUGACCCGAUUUGCAGCGCAGAUCAUGGCGGGCCAGUAGAAACCUUGAUGGAUCACCUUUGCGGCUAGGGCCCUGGGCCCUGCGUGAGAGCCGCAAGUCCCGCUGUGGACUUCGCGCAGAAUUUGGACGCCUUCGGUCUCGGUGACACAUUUAAGCAUGGGUUGACUGACCCCCUUUUUGUAAAGUUGGCCUUCGAUUAGUGCGAAGUCCCGGCUUCGAUGUUUGAGGCACUUGGCCUCAUUGAUAUCGGUUGGAUGAUAGUACCCCUGCAGGAAUAGGGUUAUUGGUGCCCGCCAGUCUUCGGUCAUGAUGAGGUUGACUAUGCGGUGGCCCUCGCUGUCAUUGGUUAUUUGGAGCCCCUCUGGGCUGCGGAAGGCUGGCGUGCCAAUGACAUGGUAGAAUACAUCGGAGGGCAGGGCCUCGCCUCUGGCGGCUGCCUUGGCUAAUGCGUCGGCCUCCUCAUUCUUGGCUCGGUCCACAUGCUGUAAGGUAAAACCUUUGAAUUGUCUUUCGAGACUGCGGAUAGUCGCGAGGUACUGCAUAAGUGUGGGGUCCUUCGUUGUGUAGUCUUUCUCGACUUGGCCGACGACUAUCUUGGAGUCUGUUCUGAUGAUGCAGGUGGUGACACCAAGUGGCCUUAGCUUGCGAAGGCCGAGAAUGAUAGCUUCGUAUUCUGCUAUAUUGUUAGUGCAUCUGUCAGACUCCAAAGCAAAGCUGAGGCGUGCUGCGUAUCUGUGCUUGACCCCUGUGGGUGACGUAAUGACUACAGCGGUGCCUGCCCCCGCAUGGCACCAUGCGUCGUCGCAAUGGAUUGUCCAUACCCUCUCCGCGGACGUGUCCGGCUGUGUUAUUGGCCCAGUCCAGUCGACGACGAAGUCUGCCAGGACUUGUGACUUGAUGGCUGUCCUGGGUUUGAAUGUGAUGUGUUAGCCGGAGAGUUCGGCUGCCCAUUUGGCAAUCCGGACUGAUGCCUUCGGGUUUCUAAACAAUUCGCUGAGUCCCCUAUCUGAGGUGACCCGGACCUUGAACGCUUCAAAAUAAUGGCGCAAUUUGCACGAAGCCAUAACAACUGCGUAGGCGAUUUUUUCCAGUUCCGUCAUAUUGCAUUUUGAUGUCGUGAGUACUUCGGAGACGUAAUAAACUGGACAUUGCCUGAACGAGCCCUCUCUAUUCCGCUCUUAGACCAGUGAUGCGCUGACCGCAUGCGGCGAAGCUGCGAUGUAGAGCAACAGUGGUAGCGAGGGGUCUGGGCUUGUAAGAAUCGCCAAUUCUGACAGAUACUGCUUCAAAGAGGCGAAGGCCGCCGCCUGCUCUGGUCCCCAUGCGAAGUCUUUUGCGCCGCGGAGUGUUUUGAGGAAAGGGAGACUUCGCUCUGCGGAUUUGGAGAUGAAUCUGUUGAGGGCGUCCAAUCUGCCUAUUAGUCGUUGGACGUCUCUGGCUGACUGUGGGGCGUCAUGUUGAUGAUGUCCUGAAUUUUGGUUGGAUUGGCUUCGAUCCCAUGGUGCGACACCGUGUAGCCCAAUAUUUUCCCCUAGCGAACGCCGAAGACGCACUUUUCGGGGUUUAGGCGAAGUCGUGCGUCCCGCAUGUUCGCAAAUGUUUCGGUGAGGUCAGCCAGAUGGUCUUCCUUGCUUCUGCUGGCGACGACGAUGUCGUCCACAUACGUAAAUAUGUUUCUGCCGACUUGGCCCUCGAGCACUGUUUUGGUGAGCCGAGAGAAAGUGGACCCGGCGUUCUUAAGUCCCUCCGGCAUUCUGAUGGUAUUAUUAAUUCAAUCUGAUAUAACCAUCAGAUCUUAAGUAUUUAAUUAAUCUAGAGCGUACAUUAGAUUAUCAAACCAAAUCAACCUGACAUAACCAUCGAAUGUUCCGCUAUGCACCUUAAGCGCAUGGUCUGGGGCUUAAUCAUCCGAAUAACCAUCCGAUCUUCUGGUAAGCAUAGUAAGCGUAUGGUUCACGACUUCGUCAUCCGGAAUAACCAUCAGAUUUUCCAGUAAGCACUGAAAGCAAAUGAUCCGGGGUUUUGUAGGGGAAAUGUUGUUAGGUGAAUGCGGAUGCUGGCUGAUGUUGCACGUGCGAACUGUUGUGUGGAAGCUGCUAGGUCCUCCUCUAUUGUGCGUGGCUUGUGGCGGGCUUGGACUUCUCUCAUGGCUUUGGCGCUUGGAACUGUUCGUCCGUUCGGUCCUGCGUGCAUCUCUCUCUCCUGGCUGGAGGCGUGGUGGCCUGGUGGCUUCUCUGUGUUUUUCUUUUUACGACAGCUUCUCGUGUUGGCUAGGGUUGGUGUCAGGGGCCCGGUCAACUAUGCUCCCUCAGCUUUUAUAGGCAGAGCACCACAGCAGGCAGAGCAGAGAUAAAGAUUCCAACUGCAUCCAUCUACAAACAAGGCUCUCAGCGGAAGGGAUAAAAGCAUGCAGCGCAAUUGCUGCUACCGUGCUGCAGCCUUGACUCUCGUCAAUUGGAUGACCAAAAGAUGCCACCGUCUAAAGUCUUUUCUUUGUGCAGCUGCCUGUUUGUCACCAACACAAAAUUGUAGGUGCCUGUUUGUCACCAAUUAUCCUCUACCACAAAGAACUACAAUAGUGAUGGAGGAUCCGAUCCUGCAUAGAUCCACGAUAAUGCAUAGUGGGUGAUGCAUGCCUAAUGGUGGUUGUUUAGUGUUAGUUUUGGCAUGUUGGAACUAAGCAAUUGUCGAUGCCAUACGCUAGAAGUGAAGAAUGUUGUUAGCGUUAGGAGUAGAGGUGUCAAUGGGGUCUGAUACCCGUUAAGCCAUGGAGAAUUUCUCUAUUAGAUUUAGGGUAUGGGAAGAUUUUACUUUCCAUUUGUUGAAGUUAGGUAUACAUCUAUUUGAAUCAACAGUUACAGUUCAAUAGAAACUUCUUCCGCUCUAGUUUGUUGCGUGUCCUACCUUUUUCCUAAACUAGUUUUCCCUAAAUUGACAUACUCUCUAGAAAAUCUAUCCAAAUUUUGAAGAUCAAAUAUGUUCGAUUGAAUUAUUCAUGACAUAUAUCUUGGUAUUGCUUUUUUGUCAUCAGAAUAUAUUUUGAACUCAGUAAAAGUUAUACACGAUUUUUUUUAGACAAUACUAAAGCAAGUUGUAAUCAAGAACACUUGAGGUGUGCGCCAAUUGCCACAUUUAGAUAUAAUCAUUCUAAUUUUGGUCGUCCUAUGUGUGUGCAUUCAUCUAUGCAUUCUAGGAUUUCAAUUAGUUUCAAUCUUGUAGUAUUGGUUCCUUCAUUGUCAAAUCACUUCUCAUCUAACUACUAUGCUUGUUUAACCAUCAGAACAUAACUACAACAAUAUCCAUUUAUAAACGUUUUGAUAGCAAACUUUACAUAUUCAUAUCAUGUUAAGGUUGUCACAUGUGUAAAGGUGAAGAGAUCAUGCAUGUCAUUCCACGUAGAUGAAAAGAAUUCCUAUAUAAAAUGACACCUUUUCUUGUAGGUAGUGGAAAGUAUCUUUCCAGCAAAUACCAUAUAAUCCGAUAAAGCGGAUAACUAAAUGUCGAAAUCGAGUAGAUGCCAUAUCAUCUAUACCUUAUCUGUUGUUUGGAAAAAAGACAAAAUCCAAAAAAUAUAUUUGAGACCUCACCUGUAUAAAUAGCUCCCAAAUCAGUAGUUAAUCCAUCACCCAUAAUAUUUUGAGCAUUCAGAAACACACCAAGCGAAGCUACCUAGCAACGACUUAACAACAAUGGCUACCAAGAUAUUAGCCCUCCUUGCGCUUCUUGCCCUUUUUGUGAGCGCAACAAAUGCGUUCAUUAUUCCACAAUGCUCACUUGCUCCUAGUGCCAUUAUACCACAGUUCCUCCGACCAGUUACUUCAAUGGGCUUCGAACACCUAGCUGUGCAAGCCUACAAGCUACAACAAGCGCUUGCGGCGAGCGUCUUACAACAACCAAUUAACCAAUUGCAACAACAAUCCUUGGCACAUCUAACCAUACAAACCAUCGCAACACAACAGCAACAACAGUUCCUACCAGCACUGAGCCAACUAGAUGUGGUGAACCCUGUCGCCUACUUGCAACAGCAGGUGCUUGCAUCCAACCCACUUGCUCUGGCAAACGUAGCUGCAUACCAACAACAACAACAAUUGCAACAGUUUCUGCCAGCGCUCAGUCAACUAGCCAUGGUGAACCCUGCCGCCUACCUACAACAGCAACAACUGCUUUCAUCUAGCCCUCUCGUUGUGGGUAAUGCACCUACAUACCUGCAACAACAAUUGCUGCAACAGAUUGUACCAGCUCUGACUCAGCUAGCUGUGGCAAACCCUGCUGCCUACUUGCAACAGCUGCUUCCAUUCAACCAACUGACUGUGUCGAACUCUGCUGCGUAC
rnacentral:lncRNA from 1 species